CUACGGGGCGCAGCAGUGAGGAAUAUUGCACAAUGGGGGAAACCCUGAUGCAGCAACGCCGCGUGGAGGAUGACGCAUUUCGGUGUGUAAACUCCUUUUAUAUGUCAAGAAAAUGACGGUAGCAUAUGAAUAAGCACCGGCUAACUCCGUGCCAGCAGCCGCGGUAAUACGGAGGGUGCAAGCGUUAUUCGGAAUCACUGGGCGUAAAGGACGCGUAGGCGGGUUAUCAAGUCAGGUGUGAAAUCCUACAGCUUAACUGUAGAACUGCACUUGAAACUGGUAGCCUAGAGUAUGGGAGGGGCAGAUGGAAUUAGUGGUGUAGGGGUAAAAUCCGUAGAUAUCACUAGGAAUACCGAAAGCGAAGGCGAUCUGCUGGAACAUUACUGACGCUAAGGCGUGAAAGCGUGGGGAGCAAACAGGAUUAGAUACCCUCGUAGUC
rnacentral:rRNA from 1 species